GAUGAACGCUGGCGGCGUGCUUAACACAUGCAAGUCGAACGGAAAGGCUCCUGCUUGCAGGGGUACUCGAGUGGCGAACGGGUGAGUAACACGUGGGUGAUCUGCCCUGCACUUCGGGAUAAGCCUGGGAAACUGGGUCUAAUACCGGAUAGGACGAUGGUUUGGAUGCCAUUGUGGAAAGUUUUUCGGUGUGGGAUGAGCUCGCGGCCUAUCAGCUUGUUGGUGGGGUAAUGGCCUACCAAGGCGUCGACGGGUAGCCGGCCUGAGAGGGUGUACGGCCACAUUGGGACUGAGAUACGGACCAGACUCCUACGGGAGGCAGCAGUGGGGAAUAUUGCACAAUGGGCGCAAGCCUGAUGCAGCGACGCCGCGUGGGGAAUGACGGCCUUCGGGUUGUAAACUCCUUUCGCUAGGGACGAAGCGCAAGUGACGGUACCUGGAGAAGAAGCACCGGCUAACUACGUG
rnacentral:rRNA from 1 species